rnacentral:tRNA from 1 species
CACGGAGGAGCAAAGGAAGGGAUAUGGCAAAGAAAGAGACAACCAGGAGUUCCCGUUGUGGCGCAGUGGUUAACGAAUCUGACUAGGAACCAUGAGGUUGCAGGUUCGAUCCCUGGCCUUGCUCAGUGGGUUAACGAUCCGGUUGCCGUGAGCUGUGGUGUAGGUCGCAGACGCAGCUCAGAUCCUGUGUUGCUGUGGCUCUGGCGUAGGCUGGCAGCUACAGCUCCGAUUCGACCCCUAGCCUGGGAACCUCCAUAUGCCGCGGGAGCGGCCCAAAGAAAUGGCAAAAAGACAAAAAAAAAAAAAAAAAAAAAAAGAAAGAGACAACCAGACCAGACUACGGGAAAGGAAGGGAGAGGGUGGCAGAAAAAAAAAAAAAAAAAAAAAAGAAAGAGACAACCAGACCAGACUACGGGAAAGGAAGGGAGAGGGUGGCAGAACCCAGAAAGUUUUUUUCUUUCCUUGGGACCAUCAUAACCCCUCCCACAAGAAACUUCAGUAAGUCCAUCAGCUAUCCUUCAAGGACAAGUUCCUGCUACUGUCACAACUCCAGUUCAUCUUAAAUCUGAUGAAGUUUUAAACAAGCAUAAAUUACUAAAUGAGACAAACUGGGGAGUUCCCUGGUUGUCUAGUGGUUAGGACUUGGCGCUUUCAGCACUAGGCCCAGGUUUAAUCCUGGUCUGGGAACUGAGAUCCCACAUCAAGCCGCAGCACCUACCAGCCAAAAGUGGGGAGCAGGGGAGACACACAAUCAUCUGGGGAAGAUAGGUAUUUACAAAUUAC